GUCAAUAUAACCAGAUUGCUAUCCCUAGAUCCGUGAGUGAAAAAAUUUAAAUAUUUUCAAUUACUAAUAAAUUGAUUAUACUAUUACGUUAUGUGGGAUUAUGUGAAUUAUUUCGGCUACAUGAUUAUCGAUAAAUGUUCUCUCACUAUGAUAUAUGUGGAAUUACAAAGAUUAUAUGUGGGUUACUUGUGAAUUAGAAUAUGAGACAUGUUUUAUUGACAGCUACUAGAGCACGGCAUGCAAUUGUGUUGGCCACAAGUGAGACUUCUCAAGUGAUCGCAAGGGUGGUUAUAGGAUGUGAUCAUGGGAGGAUUGACCACUUGCUUGUGCCAUUGUGAUAUGGUGAUUUUUAGUAUCUCGGGUGGUAUACUUCCUCGCUAAUCAUUGGGGCUAUCAGGUGAUGUACCUCUAAUGAUCACAAGAUGAUGGUCCUCUCAACUGUGAUAUUGUGAUUAUUGUCAUCUUGAGUGGGAUACUUCUUGUGUGACCAUGGAGCCGUUAGGGGAUGUACUUCUGAUGAUCACAGGAGGAUGGGCCACUCGACUCUACCCAGCUGAUUAUUGAUUACUGAUGUUGAUAUUACAUUAUUUUCAAACUUAUCCAUUCAUUAAGCUAUCAACUCAUAUAUUUUCUUAUAAUUUUUCCUACAUGUAGCAAUUGGUUUUUGAUAGCAUGAGGAGCUUGAUAAUUUUAGAGUUAGAGCUACACGACAUAUUGAGU
rnacentral:lncRNA from 1 species